GACGAACGCUGGCGGCGUGCCUAAUACAUGCAAGUCGAGCGAGCGGAACUAACAGAUUUACUUCGGUAAUGACGUUAGGAAAGCGAGCGGCGGAUGGGUGAGUAACACGUGGGGAACCUGCCCCAUAGUCUGGGAUACCACUUGGAAACAGGUGCUAAUACCGGAUAAGAAAGCAGAUCGCAUGAUCAGCUUUUAAAAGGCGGCGUAAGCUGUCGCUAUGGGAUGGCCCCGCGGUGCAUUAGCUAGUUGGUAAGGUAAAGGCUUACCAAGGCGAUGAUGCAUAGCCGAGUUGAGAGAUUGAUCGGCCACAUUGGGACUGAGACACGGCCCAAACUCCUACGGGAGGCAGCAGUAGGGAAUCUUCCACAAUGGACGCAAGUCUGAUGGAGCAACGCCGCGUGAGUGAAGAAGGUUUUCGGAUCGUAAAGCUCUGUUGUCGGUGAAGAAGGAUAGAGGUAGUAACUGGCCUUUAUUUGACGGUAAUCAACCAGAAAGUCACGGCUAACUACGUGCCAGCAGCCGCGGUAAUACGUAGGUGGCAAGCGUUGUCCGGAUUUAUUGGGCGUAAAGCGAGCGCAGGCGGAAGAAUAAGUCUGAUGUGAAAGCCCUCGGCUUAACCGAGGAACUGCAUCGGAAACUGUUUUUCUUGAGUGCAGAAGAGGAGAGUGGAACUCCAUGUGUAGCGGUGGAAUGCGUAGAUAUAUGGAAGAACACCAGUGGCGAAGGCGGCUCUCUGGUCUGCAACUGACGCUGAGGCUCGAAAGCAUGGGUAGCGAACAGGAUUAGAUACCCUGGUAGUCCAUGCCGUAAACGAUGAGUGCUAAGUGUUGGGAGGUUUCCGCCUCUCAGUGCUGCAGCUAACGCAUUAAGCACUCCGCCUGGGGAGUACGACCGCAAGGUUGAAACUCAAAGGAAUUGACGGGGGCCCGCACAGCGGUGGAGCAUGUGGUUUAUUCGAAGCAACGCGAAGANCUUACCAGGUCUNGACAUCUAGUGCCAUUGUAGAGAUACAAGUUCCUUCGGGANNCUAA
rnacentral:rRNA from 1 species